rnacentral:rRNA from 1 species
UACGUAGGGUGCGAGCGUUGUCCGGAAUUACUGGGCGUAAGAGCUCGUAGGUGGUUUGUCGCGUUGUCCGUGAAAACUCACAACUCAAUUGUGGGCGUGCGGGCGAUACGGGCAGACUGGAGUACUGCAGGGGGAGACUGGAAUUCCUGGUGUAGCGGUGGAAUGCGCAGAUAUCAGGAGGAACACCGGUGGCGAAGGCGGGUCUCUGGGCAGUAACUGACGCUGAGGAGCGAAAGCGUGGGGAGCGAACAGG